UGCCAGCCGCCGCGGUAAUACGGAGGGAGCAAGCGUUGUUCGGAAUCACUGGGCGUAAAGGGCGCGUAGGCGGUCAUGUAAGUCGGAUGUGAAAUUCCGGGGCUCAACCCCGAGAACUGCGCCCGAUACUGCAUGACUAGAGAAAGGUAGGGGCAAGUGGAAUUCCCGGUGUAGCGGUGGAAUGCGUAGAUAUCGGGAAGAACACCCGUGGCGAAGGCGGCUUGCUGGACCUUUUCUGACGCUGAAGCGCGAAAGCGUGGGGAGCAAACAGGAUUAGAUA
rnacentral:rRNA from 1 species